rnacentral:misc_RNA from 1 species
GGUGCCUCCUGAGCUCCCGGAACCGGCGUUGGGGAUCAACUUUGCCAGGGAUGGGAUGGACCAGAAAGAUUGGCUGGCAUUGGUUGCGGUCCACAGUGAUGCCUGGCUGCUGGCUGUCACGUUCUAUUUUGGUGCACGUUUCGGAUUUGAUAAAGAAGCAAGGCGUCGGCUUUUCAACAUGAUCAACAACCUCCCCACCAUAUUCGAGGUCGUGACUGGGGCUACUAAGAAGCCAUCAAAAGAAAAGACCCCUAACGGCAGCAGCAAAAGCAGCAAGAGCUCAAAGCCAGCAGCACGACUAUCAGUGUCAGAGUCGCAGACCAAGGUUCCGAAGAUGCCCCCACCGCCCAAGGAUGAUGAGGACAGCGAAGGUGAAGAAGAGGAAGACGAGGAGGAACACGGGAACACUCUGUGCGGUGCCUGUGGGGAUAAUUAUGCGGCAGAUGAAUUCUGGAUAUGCUGUGAUGUGUGCGAGAAAUGGUUCCACGGUGGGUGUGUGAAGAUCACUCCAGCCAGGGCGGAGCACAUCAAGCAGUAUAAAUGCCCAGCUUGCAGCAAUAAGAGGGCAAGGGCAUGAUCUCAGAAUAUCUGUGUUAGUCAUUCAGAUGCAGCAGUGAACAGGUGAAGACCUUGAGUGAGAAAACUUGGUUAUGA